AACGAACGCUGGCGGCAGGCUCAACACAUGCAAGUCGAACGCCCCGCAAGGGGAGUGGCAGACGGGUGAGUAACGCGUGGGAACGUACCUUUCAGUUCGGAAUAACUCAGGGAAACUUGUGCUAAUACCGGAUACGCUCGUAAGAGGAAAGAUUUAUCGCUGAAAGAUCGGCCCGCGUUGGAUUAGCUAGUUGGUGGGGUAAUGGCCUACCAAGGCGACGAUCCAUAGCUGGUCUGAGAGGAUGAUCAGCCACACUGGGACUGAGACACGGCCCAGACUCCUACGGGAGGCAGCAGUGGGGAAUAUUGGACAAUGGGCGAAAGCCUGAUCCAGCCAUGCCGCGUGAGUGAUGAAGGCCCUAGGGUUGUAAAGCUCUUUCACCGAUGAAGAUAAUGACGGUAGUCGGAGAAGAAGGGGUUGCUAACUCUGUGCCAGCCGCCGCCGUAA
rnacentral:rRNA from 1 species